GAGUGGCAAAGAGAGCAAGCGCAUGAGUGAGAGAGCGUGUGAAGGAGCAGUGCCGUCGCAUGUGCAGGACCCUCUAUCUGUGGGCUAAAAGUGAGGAGGGAAAUUAGCUUGUUAUCCCCCGAAGAAGCUUCACCUUACAGAGAAGAUUUAAAGGAUUGCAGGAAGACUUACAACAAGAGGGGAUCGAGGGCAGGAAAACGGACAAGAGUCACCUCAUCCCGCCUCUGACCCACAGAUCCAAACUGCAACUUUGCUGGGAAGCUCUUUCUCGAGAGCAUGGAUGGAUAAAUGACAAUGUGCUGAGGAUUUUUUUGCAGGAACACUGACAGCACAUUCCUUUGACAUUCUCCUGACAACAUAUCACAGCCAGUGCUCCUGCCAUGUCCUGGUUCAUGUCCCUGUGGAUAAGUGUUAGCUGCCUACUGCUGUGCCACGCCACUUUGUACGAGACCAUCCAGCAGCAUCAUGUGACCCGCCCGGGCCGCAACGCCAUACAGAUACUGGAAGGAGGAAAGUGUGAGGUCAUCGCUGCACACAGAUGCUGCAAUAAGAACCGCAUUGAGGAGCGCUCCCAAACAGUCAAGUGCUCGUGUUUACCAGGAAAAGUGGCCGGCACGACACGGAACAAACCCUCCUGUGUAGACGCCUCAAUUGUGAUUGGGAAGUGGUGGUGUGAGAUGGAGCCGUGUCUGGAGGGAGAGGAGUGUAAGACACUACCAGACAACUCCGGCUGGAUGUGUUCCUCUGGGAACAAGAUCAAGACCACGAGGAACACCCAACCAUAUUCAACUUUUUAGCUCUGAGGGCCACACAGGCUGGCUCACCAGAAGCUCAGCGGCAUCCUUCUUCUCAUUAAGAGAGGGACCCUUCCUUGCCUGUAGCGCCAGACAAGGCAGGCCUCUUUUGAGGAAGGCACACAGUGAGAGGGAGGCUGAGAGAGACCCUCACCUUUGCCCUUCAUUGACCUACUUUUACCUGUUCCUUAUGGCUAUAUACUAUAUAUCAGUUUUUCCUUAUACACCAAACUCAAGGCAUUAAGAAAGAACGCAAGGCUUAGAGUUUUCCCCAAUUUAAAUACUAAAUCUUCUGCCUCAUCUGAGAGGAUAGAUGGACCCUAGCAAGAGAUUUAGCCUUUCACUGGCUAGGUUCCAAAGCCUAGUGAGCUGCCUAAAGAGACAGCAUUUUAAGGCAUCUUAGGCACACUCUUGACAUCAAGGCUUGACUAAGACUAAGCAAAAGAAAUGCUGAUUAUAAAUUAGGGCUGAUUCACAUGUUAAUUUAUUGUAUAAAAAAAUAAUGUGUUAAACAUUUACACAAUUAAUCAUGCCCCUGGACCAUAAUGAGGAGUCAGCAGGGGGCAGUAAGUGCAAAGCUAGCUGAACAGACAUCCUCUAGCUGUUCAGAAAGCAAACCACAUUUACUGAAAGCAGCCAACACAAGAUGAGUACACGUUUUUGCAUUCACAUACAGCUGGACGGAGAGCAACUCUGAAUGCAGGGUUUUCAAGAUGCGCUUUUCUAACUUUCAAACUAUGUUUAACUUGAUACAGCAUCCUAAAAACUUUAUGACACGACGUGAACAAAGUGAGACGCAUGUGUACAUAGACUUGUCCUUAGAAAAGCCCUUAAAAUGAGUCUACCUCACAGAUUGACGAGUUUAAUUGCAAAAUGGAUUGCUGUGGACUGUAAGCCUAUGAUAGUCUUACUGUAUUUUCAAAGAAUGUAUUGCCUUCUAAAGACACUUUUUGUAUUGCCUAAUCAAUGCUUUACUCAUCUGCCACAAUAAUGUAAUGUAUUUGAAUUAUUAUUAUAAUUUAUUAUUUAAUGUAAUUUAUUUAAUAUAAUAAAUUAUAAUAUUUAUUAUAUUAUAUUUAAAAUUAUUAAAAUAUAAUUAUGUAUAAUUAUUUUUUCAUUAUUUAUUGCAUUAUUUUUAUUUGGGGGCCUUUCUCUGCAAAGAUCGAUUUAUGUUAUUAAUUUCAAUUAAUUAAAUUAAUUUAUUAGCAAAUAAUGUAAUUAAUUCAAUGAAAAUUUUUAACUGAUUGAAAGCCCUAUUAUAAAAAUAAUAAUAAUUAUUUAAAUACAGCAUAGUAUUGAUAAUAAAAGUUCAGUCUUAAUAAACAUGAACUGUUUUGUGCUGUAUAUUUUUAUGCUUAUUAGAGUAUCACGUUGUUAAUUUAGCAACAUUUCUAACACUACACUCUAUUGAAAACAAUUGCAAAAGUAAAUUCUCCUGUGCGCUUUGCUUGAGGAGUGCUAUUUGUGUGGCCAUGGAGUCAACUGCCUUAGAAGGCAGCUGCCUAUGUGGGCAGUAGUCAGAAAGGCAGCUCACUAGGUUAUAGAAAAGAAACGAUUAUUAUACCCACAUUCCUAAAAAAUUAUUUUGAGAAAACUUGAAUACCCAAAGAAGAUUAGCUUUUUGUUUUAAUCAUAAAUAUUUGCUGUCAACACUCUGUAGUCUGCAUGUUCCACAGAUGCAUAAACUCUACAUGGAAACAGUGUGUUCAGUUCUCAGAAUGUUCUGAGAAAAGAUUUAGUCGGCGGAUUUACUGUAUCUCUGAAAUACAUGUCCUGAACAGAAGACUUUUUACCAGAUACCUGUACUGUCUCAAGAAUCUCAUUUGUGUGGCUUUUCAGAGCAAAAGUAAUCUGCCAACUGAUGAAAGUAAAACGGCUCAAGAUUAAAUGUGGUAAAAUCAUUAUCAAGUCUGUUGUCCCUAGAGUCCUGUUGAACCCAGAGCCUUGAAUGUAUCUGUAACUCUUUUCUGCUGUCAAUGUCACAUUAAAUUAUU